AUCAGAUAAUACGUGAUCUAAUAAUGUACUAACGCGUAUAUAAUGCGUAUAUAAUUUGCUAUAUAUGUAAUUCUAAUUGGGAUAUUAUUAAGUUAUUGCCAUGCUCCAAUAUGAAUGGGAUCUGAGGCGGCAACAGCGGCCGAUGCAGCAGAUAAGGUCGUGUCCUUUGCGGCGGAUGCAUGUUUAUAAACAGUAGCUUCAGAUCGUUGAAGAGCUGCCAAUUUGGCAGCGGUGUUUUCUAUUCAGGAAAUUAUAAUUUUAAUAUUGACUUAACAAAGUGUUGAUUAUGAUAGGUCAGUGGUUAUUCGAACCUGAUUUUUGUAUUUCAUGCGCAGCGGCAUUGGCACUUCGGUGAAUGAUCUGCGCGGCGUGUGCUUCCUUGGAGGCUGCGAUGCGUUGGUGCUCAGCGACUUCGGCUUUAGCUUGAGCUAAACGUUGCUGAGCUAAGACCACUGAGGUGGCGGCGGCGUUUGCUUCUUGGCGUUGCACAGAAGCAGCAGCUUCGGCUUUCUGGGCUGUGAUGGCGGCUUGAGCUUCUUUUUGGCUUGCCAGGCGUUGUUGAUUCAGAACGGCUUCUUUCGCGAAUUGCACGCGUUGUUGGGCUUGUAAGACCUGGCUGGUUGCUUCCUUUGCGGCAGAGAUUGCGGAAGCUAUUUCAGCGGGAGACACUGGUGGAUAGGAGUUGACUUUGUGGAUCUAGUUUUAUAAAGAGAAAUUAUUUGGUAAUUUAUUACGGGUUUAGGUUAAAUUUUAACUUACGACGAUAGGUUUUGCCAAAAUGAUAGGUCCUUGAGCGAAACUAUUGGAUCCUUGGCCAAAUCCCUGAUCAAAAGCUGAUCCCAAGUCAUUGCCACCAAAGCCAUGGUUGUUUCCGAAACCACCGCCAUAGUUCCCGCCGAAACUGUUUCCAAAAUUGCCGAAAUUACCAUCCAGGAGUCCACGUUUACUGGGGACACCUCCAUUGACACCCAAGGCCACCAACACUAAACAAAUCUAUAAAAAUAAUUAGUAUUAGUGCAAUUUAAGAUAAACUAAUUUAAGUAAUUAAGUAAACUUACUAGUUUAAGGGCAAUCAUAUUACUUAGUAGAUGCUUCAACUUGUCAACAAGACAAAACAAUGAAUAAUCCCAAGAAUCCGAUGCUGCUUUUAUAGGUGAACAAAAUUGAUCCAAAUCUACAUCUUGCAAAGUGGGAUCUCUUUAAAAUUAUUAUCAUUAAGUUAAUUCAACUUCACCUAAUCAAGAGAAUGUGUCAGAAUAUGGCUGCUGCAUAUAACAAUUAUAUGCCCAACUUGGUCUUCAUUGUCUUCAGGUUUAACAAACUAUGUUAUUAUAUUAACAGUUGACAUAAUUACUUCCAGGUUUGGUAGGAUAAUUCACAACUCAAAAAAGUAGAUUCCGAGAUAAGUCACGACUGAUAUUUAAUUAAUGCAUUAUAAUUUAUUAUUAUUAAUAUUUCGUACUCUGAAAUCCUGAAAUGAGGAAGUGCUCAAUUAUAUUAUUUAAUUUUCACCCAAUAAAAAUUUAAGACAUCUUAAAGAAAGUGCAAGUACGAGUAAAAGUACUACAUUAUUUCUGUCGGGAUUUAAUUUCACGCUUGAUCGCCACAUUCAUAUACCACAGAUUAUGAAAUACUCUGAAAAAUAAUAUAAUAAGAUCUAAAGCAAAAUACAUUUAUUUUGAAACAACAUAAAACAUAAUAAAACAAUUAAAUUAAUUUAAAGAAAA